rnacentral:rRNA from 1 species
CAGCUGUGGGGAAUAUUGCACAAUGGGUCGCAAGCCUGAUGCAGCCAUUGCCGCGUUGUAUGAAGAAGGCCUUCGGGUUGUAAAGUACUUUCAGCAGUGAGGUAAGUGGGUAUGUUAAUAGCAUAUUCAUUUGACGUUAGCUGCAGAAGAAGCACCGGCUAACUCCGUGCCAGCAGCCGCGGUAAUACGGAGGGUGCGAGCGUUAAUCGGAAUUACUGGGCGUAAAGCGCAUGCAGGUGGUUUGUUAAGUCAGAUGUGAAAGCCCGGGGCUCAACCUCGGAAUUGCAUUUGAAACUGGCAAACUAGAGUACUGUAGAGGGGGUAGAAUUUCAGGUGUAGCGGUGAAAUGCGUAGAGAUCUGAAGGAAUACCGGUGGCGAAGGCGGCCCCCUGGACAGAUACUGACACUCAGAUGCGAAAGCGUGGGGAGCAAACAGGAUUAGAUACCCUGGUAG